AGGACGAACGCUGGCGGCGUGCCUAACACAUGCAAGUGGAGCGACGAACCAGGCUUCGGCCUGGGGCAGAGCCGCGAACGGGUGAGUAACACGUGGGUAACCUGCCCUGAUGAUUGGGACAACCCGAGGAAGCUCGGGCUAAUACCGAAUGUGCCCUCCGGCCUCAAGGCCGCUGGGAAAGGAAGCUUCGGCCUCCGCAUCGGGACGGGCCCGCGGCCCAUUAGCUUGUUGGUGAGGUAACGGCUCACCAAGGCAACGAUGGGUAGCUGGUCUGAGAGGAUGAUCAGCCAGACUGGGACUGAGAACGGCCCAGACUCCUACGGGAGGCAGCAGUAGGGAAUUUUCCACAAUGGGCGAAAGCCUGAUGGAGCAAACGCCGCGUGCAGGACGAAGGCUUUCGGGUCGUAAACUGCUUUUAUAUGUGACGAUUAUGACGGUAGCAUAUGAAUUAAGGAUCGGCUAAACUCGUGCCAGCAGCCGC
rnacentral:rRNA from 1 species